UGAUCUAAUUAUUGUAAUUAUGGAGAAAUGAUUUUUGAAGUAGGUGCGAAGUUUUCUUCAUUUGAACAAAUUAAAAUACACCAAUGUUUUUGGCGGGCGAGAGUGCCAAAAAAAGGAAAGAAGACAAAAAUGAAAGGAAAUCCAAUUAAAGAAGUAUUUUGGGUGUGCAGCUUCAGAAACUGAAUUCCUUACUGAAUGGUACAUGGUAGAGAGAUUUGGCUUCAUUUACUGUCAGUCAUUUCCUCUGCUUGUACUUUUCAGUUUAGCCUGAGCCUGAAGAGUAACAACUGAAUCAACAGAAGUAUGGAUCUGUACAAUGUUUCAAGGGUUUUCAUCUGUAGAGAUUUCAUUGGGUCCCUAACUCUUGAGAAGGCUGUGGUUGCUUCCCGUAACUCAAAGGUUACAGCCGGUUUUUCAGGACUUUGUGAUUGAGAGUUAACUGUACUAUGUAGUAUUUUGUCUAC